GAUGAACGCUGGCGGCGUGCCUAAUACAUGCAAGUCGAGCGAACGGACGAGAAGCUUGCUUUUCUGAUGUUAGCGGCGGACGGGUGAGUAACGCGUGGAUAACCUACCUAUAAGACUGGGAUAACUUCGGGAAACCGGAGCUAAUACCGGAUAAUAUCUUGAACCGCAUGGUUCAAAAGUGAAAGACGGUCUUGCUGUCACUUAUAGAUGGAUCCGCGCUGCAUUAGCUAGUUGGUAAGGUAACGGCUUACCAAGGCAACGAUGCAUAGCCGACCUGAGAGGGGGAUCGGCCACAUGGGAACGGGGACACGGUCCAGACUCCUACGGGAGGAACCAGUAGGGAACCUUCCGCAAUGGGCGAAAGCCUAACGGAGCAACGCGGCGUGAGGGAUGAAGGUCUCGGGUUCGUAAAACCCUGUUAUUGGGGAGAAACAUAUUUGGAGGGAAAUGUGCACAUAUUGACGGUACCUAAUCAGAAAGCCACGGCUAACUACGUG
rnacentral:rRNA from 1 species